rnacentral:rRNA from 1 species
CCUACGGGUGGCAGCAGUAGGGAAUUUUGCGCAAUGGGCGAAAGCCUGACGCAGCAACGCCGCGUGAUCGAGACGCCCUUCGGGGUGUAAAGAUCUGUCAGUUGGGACGAAACUUGACGGUACCCACAGAGGAAGCACCGGCUAACUCCGUGCCAGCAGCCGCGGUAAUACGGGGGGUGCAAGCGUUGUCCGGAAGCAUUGGGUUUAAAGGGUGCGCAGGCGGGCCUUUAAGCCGGCGGUGAAAUCGCGGGGCUCAACCCCGCCGAGCCGUCGGAACUGGGGGCCUUGAGUGCGGCGGAGGCAGGCGGAAUGCGCGGUGUAGCGGUGAAAUGCAUAGAUAGCGCGCAGAACCCCGAUUGCGAAGGCAGCGUGCCGUGCCGCCACUGACGCUGAGGCACGAAAGCGCGGGGAUCGAACAGGAUUAGAUACCCUGGUAGUC